rnacentral:rRNA from 1 species
GUGGGGAAUAUUGGACAAUGGGCGCAAGCCUGAUCCAGCCAUGCCGCGUGAGUGAUGAAGGCCCUAGGGUUGUAAAGCUCUUUCACCGGAGAAGAUAAUGACGGUAUCCGGAGAAGAAGCCCCGGCUAACUUCGUGCCAGCAGCAGCGGUAAUACGAAGGGGGCUAGCGUUGUUCGGAAUUACUGGGCGUAAAGCGCACGUAGGCGGACAUUUAAGUCAGGGGUGAAAUCCCGGAGCUCAACUCCUGAACUGCCUUUGAGACUGGGUGUCUGGAGUAUGGAAGAGGUGAGUGGAAUUCCGGGUGUAGAGGUGAAAUUCGUAGAUAUUCGGAGGAACACCAGUGGCGAAGGCGGCUCACUGGUCCAUUACUGACGCUGAGGUGCGAAAGCGUGGGGAGCAAACAGGAUUAGAUACCCCUGUAGUCC